AGGGUUUGAUCAUGGCUCAGGACGAACGCUGGCGGCGUGCUUAACACAUGCAAGUCGAACGAACCUUCGGGUUAGUGGCGGACGGGUGAGUAACGCGUGAGAAUCUGCCCUCAGGAGGGGGAUAACGGCUGGAAACGGCCGCUAAUACCCCAUAUGCCGCGAGGUGAAAUGAAUUUCGCCUGAGGAUGAGCUCGCGUCUGAUUAGCUAGUUGGUGGGGUAAAGGCCUACCAAGGCAUCGAUCAGUAGCUGGUCUGAGAGGAUGAUCAGCCACACUGGGACUGGGACACGGCCCAGACUCCUACGGGAGGCAGCAGUGGGGAAUUUUCCGCAAUGGGCGAAAGCCUGACGGAGCAACGCCGCGUGAGGGAUGAAGGCCUCUGGGCUGUAAACCUCUUUUAUCAAGGAAGAAGAUCUGACGGUACUUGAUGAAUAAGCCACGGCUAAUUCCGUGCCAGCCGCCGCGGUAAUAC
rnacentral:rRNA from 1 species